CCUACGGGUGGCAGCAGUGAGGAAUAUUGGUCAAUGGACGAGAGUCUGAACCAGCCAAGUAGCGUGAAGGAUGACUGCCCUAUGGGUUGUAAACUUCUUUUAUAUGGGAAUAAAACGUUCCACGUGUGGGAUUUUGUAUGUACCCUAAGAAUAAGGAUCGGCUAACUCCGUGCCAGCAGCCGCGGUAAUACGGAGGGUCCGAGCGUUAUCCGGAUUUAUUGGGUUUAAAGGGAGCGUAGGUGGAUUGUUAAGUCAGUUGUGAAAGUUUGCGGCUCAACCGUAAAAUUGCAGUUGAAACUGGCAGUCUUGAGUACAGUAGAGGUGGGCGGAAUUCGUGGUGUAGCGGUGAAAUGCUUAGAUAUCACGAAGAACUCCGAUUGCGAAGGCAGUUCACUGGACUGCAACUGACACUGAGGCUCGAAAGUGUGGGUAUCAAACAGGAUUAGAUACCCGGGUAGUC
rnacentral:rRNA from 1 species